AAAUUUUCUUAUAAAAAAUAAUCUAUGAAAACCCUAAUAAUAAAUAGUAAUACUUCUUUAAUAGGAGCAGGCUACGAAAGAAAAGUAAUAUUACGGUGCAUCCUCCACUUGUUUUCUUUUCUCUAAUUAUUCCGCCGCCGACCACCGGUAGUCAUCACCAAAGAUGAUUUCCGGCAAUGGUGCACCCUCUGUACCAUAGUCUCAACAGAUCUGAAAACUAAGCUACCUGCAUCAUCACCAUGCACCAUCGGCUAGAACUUUGACAGUCCUAUCUGUAGACGGUGGAUCUGCAACGAAGUCUAUCUCCGCAGUGUUGAACUUGCCGACGUCAAUGGUGCCGAGGAGGACAACCAUCGUACGAAAGAGAAAGGUCACGGUGCUCUAGCAACCAGCGCCACAAGAUAUGUCUCUUUAAAGUUACAUGUGCUUUGAAACCAGUUUUAGAGUUAUGCCUAGCAAAUGAAAAAUAAAAUACGAAAGUCCAAUCCAUCGUGUGUAGUAAAAUAUGGAAAAAGACUACGUUUUACACUUUAAAAUCUUACCUUAUCCUAUCGUAUUUAUGAAUAUAAACGAAGAGAUGUAUCGAUGUACGGUGUGUAAAAUUUUGUAGUGUGACAAAUAAGGAAGUAGGGAAGGAGAGAGGGGAGGGAUGAUAAUGGUGGCGUUGGAGGGUGUAUCGUUGCCGGAAAUUGUCUCUAGUGACGGCAAACGGUGGCCGGUGGCAUAGUAGUUGAAGAGAAAAAAAAAAAAAAAUGGUGAUAAAAUAGGAAGGAUGUAUUAUAAUAUCAUGCAAUGA
rnacentral:lncRNA from 1 species